GACGAACGCUGGCGGCGUGCUUAACACAUGCAAGUCGAACGGAAAGGCCCUGCUUUUGUGGGGUGCUCGAGUGGCGAACGGGUGAGUAACACGUGAGUAACCUGCCCUUGACUUUGGGAUAACUUCAGGAAACUGGGGCUAAUACCGGAUAGGAGCUCCUGCUGCAUGGUGGGGGUUGGAAAGUUUCGGCGGUUGGGGAUGGACUCGCGGCUUAUCAGCUUGUUGGUGGGGUAGUGGCUUACCAAGGCUUUGACGGGUAGCCGGCCUGAGGGGGUGACCGGCCACAUUGGGACUGAGAUACGGCCCAGACUCCUACGGGGGGCAGCAGUGGGGAAUAUUGCACAAUGGGCGGAAGCCUGAUGCAGCAACGCCGCGUGCGGGAUGACGGCCUUCGGGUUGUAAACCGCUUUCGCCUGUGACGAAGCGUGAGUGACGGUAAUGGGUAAAGAAGCACCGGCUAACUACGUGCCAGCAGCCGCGGUGAUACGUAGGGUGCGAGCGUUGUCCGGAUUUAUUGGGCGUAAAGGGCUCGUAGGUGGUUGAUCGCGUCGGAAGUGUAAUCUUGGGGCUUAACCCUGAGCGUGCUUUCGAUACGGGUUGACUUGAGGAAGGUAGGGGAGAAUGGAAUUCCUGGUGGAGCGGUGGAAUGCGCAGAUAUCAGGAGGAACACCAGUGGCGAAGGCGGUUCUCUGGGCCUUUCCUGACGCUGAGGAGCGAAAGCGUGGGGAGCGAACAGGCUUAGAUACCCUGGUAGUCCACGCUGUAAACGGUGGGUACUAGGUGUGGGGUCCAUUCCACGGGUUCCGUGCCGUAGCUAACGCUUUAAGUACCCCGCCUGGGGAGUACGGCCGCAAGGCUAAAACUCAAAGGAAUUGACGGGGCCCCGCACAAGCGGCGGAGCAUGCGGAUUAAUUCGAUGCAACGCGUAGAACCUUACCUGGGUUUGACAUGGAUCGGGAGCGCUCAGAGAUGGGUGUGCCUCUUUUGGGGUCGGUUCACAGGUGGUGCAUGGCUGUCGUCAGCUCGUGUCGUGAGAUGUUGGGUUAAGUCCCGCAACGAGCGCAACCCUUGUUCACUGUUGCCAGCACGUUAUGGUGGGGACUCAGUGGAGACCGCCGGGGUCAACUCGGAGGAAGGUGGGGAUGACGUCAAGUCAUCAUGCCCCUUAUGUCCAGGGCUUCACGCAUGCUACAAUGGCUGGUACAGAGAGUGGCGAGCCUGUGAGGGUGAGCGAAUCUCGGAAAGCCGGUCUCAGUUCGGAUUGGGGUCUGCAACUCGACCUCAUGAAGUCGGAGUCGCUAGUAAUCGCAGAUCAGCAACGCUGCGGUGAAUACGUUCCCGGGGCU
rnacentral:rRNA from 1 species